rnacentral:rRNA from 1 species
AUUGAACGCUGGCGGCAUGCUUUACACAUGCAAGUCGAACGGCAGCGCGGGCUUCGGCCUGGCGGCGAGUGGCGAACGGGUGAGUAAUACAUCGGAACGUGCCCAGGAGUGGGGGAUAGCUCGGCGAAAGCCGGAUUAAUACCGCAUACGACCUGAGGGUGAAAGCGGGGGAUCUUCGGACCUCGCGCUAUUGGAGCGGCCGAUGCCGGAUUAGCUAGUUGGUGGGGUAAAGGCCUACCAAGGCGACGAUCUGUAGCUGGUCUGAGAGGACGACCAGCCACACUGGGACUGAGACACGGCCCAGACUCCUACGGGAGGCAGCAGUGGGGAAUUUUGGACAAUGGGCGAAAGCCUGAUCCAGCAAUGCCGCGUGUGUGAUGAAGGCCUUCGGGUUGUAAAGCACUUUUGGCGGGAACGAAAAGGACUGUGCCAAUACCACGGUUCGAUGACGGUACCCGAAGAAUAAGCACCGGCUAACUACGUG